rnacentral:siRNA from 1 species
CUGUAGGUAACAACAUUUGGU